rnacentral:rRNA from 1 species
GAUGAACGCUGGCGGCGUGCCUAAUACAUGCAAGUCGAGCGAACGGACGUGAAGCUUGCUUCUCUGAGGUUAGCGGCGGACGGGUGAGUAACACGUGGAUAACCUACCUAUAAGACGGGGACAACAUCGGGAAACCGGUGCUAAUACCGGAUAAUAUCUUGAACCGCAUGGUUCAAGAGUGAAAGACGCUCUUGCUGUCACUUAUACAUGGAACCGCGCGGCUUUAGCUAGUGGGGAAGGUAACGGCUUACCAAGGCAACGAUGCAUAGCCGACCUGAGAGGGUGAUCGCCCACACUGGAACUGGACCCCGGUCCAUAGUCCUACGGGAGGCAGCAGAAGGGAACCUUCCGCAAUGGGCGAAAGCCUGACGGAGCAAGGCCGCGUGAGUGAUGAAGGUCUUCGGAUCGUAAAACUCUGUUAUUGGGGAAAAACAUAUGUGUAAGUAACUGUGCACAUCGUGACGGUACCUAAUCAGAAAGCCACGGCUAACUACGUG